CUGGUUUGAACCUGAACAGGAGGAGCCUGUGGGAAAAGGGGCGGAACUUUAUGGGGGACCGAUAUCUUUGCAAAUUAGCUGGAGGUGUGGGGUUGGGGUGUCGAAGAGGCGAUCAACUUGGAAAGUGGGCCAAUCCGUGACGCAAAUCUUUCAGUCCCACCCUCAACCCCGCCUCCCACUGCUCCGCUCCUCCGCUCCUAAUUGGUUCUAGUUUCUCCGCCCGCCAGACUUCUUCUCCAUUCAGCAGAAGUUUUACAAAGGCGUCUGUAAGGGAACUAGGAGCUAAAAUGAAAAUAGCUCUGAUUGGGCACCUUUGGACCUUAUUUGCAUGGGCAAUUGGGAUUGGUUGGCUUCUUGGGUGGCCAGGGCGGUGUUGGUUCCGCGCGUGACCACCCACAGCUAUGGCCGGGGUAGGCGCUGCUUUCCGCCGCCUAGGUGCCUUGUCCGGAGCUGGGGCCUUGAGUUUGGCCACCUACGGGGCACACGGCGCACAGUUUCCGGAUGCCUACGGGAAGGAGCUCUUUGACAAGGCCAACAAACACCACUUUUUGCACAGCCUGGCCCUGUUAGGGGUACCCUAUUGCAGAAAACCUGUCUGGGUAAUCAAUCCCCUUGCCUAUUUUAAGUCAGACCCCAUUCGCUCCCUCAUAUUGCUUUGUUCUUAAAAUUCUGUAUUCUGUUCACCAUCUCUUUCAGGCAGGGUUGCUGCUAGCUUCUGGAACUACCUUAUUCUGCACCAGCUUUUACUACCAGGCUCUGAGUGGAGACACUAGCAUCCAGACUCUGGGGCCUGUUGGAGGGAGCCUGCUGAUCUUGGGCUGGCUUGCCUUGGCUUUUUAAGGUCUCUUGUUUAAGUGCCCAGUCCUGGCUUUUCUGGGUAAUUGGGUGCAGAGGGAAAGGGGAAUGUUGAAGCAGAAAAGAAAUUAAAAGAAAAAGGCUUACAUAAAAAAA
rnacentral:lncRNA from 1 species